rnacentral:rRNA from 1 species
CCUACGGGUGGCUGCAGUGGGGAAUAUUGGGCAAUGGGCGCAAGCCUGACCCAGCAACGCCGCGUGAAGGAAGAAGGCUUUCGGGUUGGUAACUUCUUUUCUCAUGGACGAAGCAAGUGACGGUACCUGAGGAAUGAGCCACGGCUAACUACGUGCCAGCAGCCGCGGUAAUCCGUAGGUGGCAAGCGUUAUCCGGAUUUACUGGGUGUAAAGGGCGUGUAGGCGGGACUGCAAGUCAGAUGUGAAAACCAUGGGCUCAACCUAUGGCCUGCAUUUGAAACUGUAGUUCUUGAGUACUGGAGAGGCAGACGGAAUUCCUAGUGUAGCGGUGAAAUGCGUAGAUAUUAGGAGGAACACCAGUGGCGAAGGCAGUCUGCUGGACAGCAACUGACGCUGAGGCGCGAAAGCGUGGGGAGCAAACAGGAUUAGAUACCCCUGUAGUC